UUGAUGCUAGCGUCAAAAUUGGUCGAAGAGAAGAAGUUGGAUUCUCUCAACUUCAAGCGUCAAGCAGUGAAAAAGCAACGUCAAAACAAUCGUUGAGUAUAAAAAUACGAAUAUGGAAGAGGACGACUAUAGAAUUGUUCACACCUGUGGGGUAUGCGAAGAAAUUUGUGAUGGUGAUGAUUUCAAAAACCAUCCUUGUUUAGAAGGCUACAACAAUUAUUUUAUAGAUGAAAAUACUUUGUAUUUUUAUCCAGUUUUAGAAGAUGGUGUUACAAUUGUUCGACGCAGCCAAAUAAAUAAUGAAGAAAGAAUAGUAGCAGAACCGUUUCAACAAGGUAAACUAAUCCCAAACAAAUGUAAAGGUUAUUGCAAUAUUAAAAACAAAAAGAUUCAAUUACUGGGUUUCAACCAUAUCAUUUUUUUUACAAAUUCAUGUCAUUUACUUCAUCAGGAAGGGAUCUAACUGAGUUGUCCCUUGACAGGUAUUUUAUUAUAUUUAUUACUUAGCGAUUGAUCUGGAAAAGAAAAUGGUGAAGGAAAAAAAAGAGAUUUGAUUGCUCAAUCAAAAUUUGAAAAAUAGGGAAAGUGGUUAUUAAAUUGAUCUUCUAUCUGUUGUGGAACAUCAUCAAGAAAAAGAACACCUAUAUCAAGAUUAAAUUUUGAUGAGGAGGAAAGUUUAAUACUUGAGAUACAGAACAGAC